rnacentral:rRNA from 1 species
CACCGCGGUUAUACGAGAGGCCCAAGUUGACAGCCCCUCGGCGUAAAGGGUGGUUAAAUUUUACUUAGUUAAAGCCAAACUCCCUCCUGACUGUUGCACGCACCCGAGGAAUAGAAGCCCCACCACGAAAGUGACUUUAAUUUAUUGAACCCACGAAAGCUAAGGCA